AUUUAAAUGAGUAGUUAUUAUUGCAAACUCCAUUAGAAAUUUGAAUUGAGAUCAGUUUUGGAAAAAGGGAAAGGGGGAUGUGAAAAAAAGGGGGGGGGGCUUAAAUUUUUCUCAUUUCAGAUUUCAUAAAUAAAAAGAAAAUUUCUUCAAACAUUUUUUUGAGAAGAUUAAUAUUCAACAGCAUAGUGAAUUGCUCAAAGGCAAAAAAAAUAUUUUAAGUUCAUUAGACCACAUUCAUUCUGUGUCAGAAACCUAUGCUGUGUCAAUUAUUUAAUCACAAUCCAAAUUUAGAGCUGAAUCCAGCUUGAAUGUUGUGUCCAUACUUGCCCCAACC
rnacentral:lncRNA from 1 species